AGCUGUGUACAGAGAAAGGCUGGAGAGGGGAGCAUGAACAGUUCUGUGGGAGGGACACCAGGGGCACACAUUGUCAAAGGCAGAGAUCUACAUCAAGGCCAGCCUGGUCCAGGAAGUUCCAGAGCAGCCACGAAUACACAGUGAGACCCUCUCUCAAAAAAGAGAAAAGAGAAGAGGAGUCCAAAUACAAGAGCUGGAAACCCAGCAAGUAUAGCUCUCUGCUCAUACAUAGGGGGUGAGGGAAGCUGGGCCAAGACUGCUGUCUUUAAAGUCAGGGCAGAGGGCGUGUGAACCCGGCCGCGUGCCUAACUGUGCCAGUUUACCAUGGCAGCUGUUCGGUACCUAGCCUCUGUGUGCAGCUCAGGCCCAGCCCCAGCAGGCACCACAGUCUUGGUUGUUUAUGGGUUUUGUAUUCUAAGGCGUUUACUGUCUCCUGAAGGUAGAGGUGGGCAUUGUGGUUGGCAUUGGUUCCUAACCUUCGUGAGCAUCAGGUCAAUGGUGAACCCUUCCCUUGACAUUUCUGACAGAGAGAUAGAUACACACUCCAUACUCGGUACAAAUGAGAAAAGAUGCAGACUCUCUCCCCAGAGAUAAGCCGAAUUCUCCUUUCGAGAUGACAUGUACACAUAUAAUCUUACCAUCACACAGAGCCAUGUGGCACUGUCACCUAAUACAUUUGGAGCUGCCUCCGCUUCAGUCCAUGUGGGGCUUGUUUAAAGGUGGG
rnacentral:lncRNA from 1 species